UAAAACUUUCAACAACGGAUCUCUUGGCUCUCGCAUCGAUGAAGAACGCAGCGAAAUGCGAUAAGUAAUGUGAAUUGCAGAAUUCAGUGAAUCAUCGAAUCUUUGAACGCACCUUGCGCUCCUUGGUAUUCCGAGGAGCAUGCCUGUUUGAGUGUCA
rnacentral:rRNA from 1 species